ACGGGAGGCAGCAGUGGGGAAUAUUGGACAAUGGGCGCAAGCCUGAUCCAGCGACGCCGCGUGAGCGAAGAAGUAUUUCGGUAUGUAAAGCUCUAUCAGCAGGGAAGAAAAUGACGGUACCUGACUAAGAAGCCCCGGCUAACUACGUGCCAGCAGCCGCGGUAAUACGUAGGGGGCAAGCGUUAUCCGGAUUUACUGGGUGUAAAGGGAGCGCAGACGGAAGUGCAAGUCAGAAGUGAAAAUCCGGGGCUCAACCCCGGAACUGCUUUUGAAACUGUGCAUCUAGAGUGCGGGAGAGGCAAGCGGAAUUCCUAGUGUAGCGGUGAAAUGCGUAGAUAUUAGGAGGAACACCAGUGGCGAAGGCGGCUUGCUGGACCGUAACUGACGUUGAGGCUCGAAAGCGUGGGGAGCAAACAGGAUUAGAUACCCUGGUA
rnacentral:rRNA from 1 species